rnacentral:lncRNA from 1 species
ACACCGCCCUCGGCAAACCUCGGCUGGCUCCGGCCUUUCUCCUCCUCUGAGGCCUGGAUCUUCUCUUCGCGACCAGUCUGCCCUUUCCUUCUUUUCCUCACUCGCGAGUCGGCCACCGCCGUUCCCGUUUAGGGAUAGUCUCGCUCGGGCGCCUGCUCGAGGCUGAUCUCAGGGGCUCCGGGCUGCGCAGGGAGGGAGCCGCCUUCCGGAAGAGGACGGUGGGGCGCGAGGGAAGCCAUCGCGGACUAAAUAAGGGAGGCUGCAGCGGCUGCGCGUGCGCCCAGAGGCGCAGCGGGAGGGGGUGCUCUCGGGCGAGCUCUCCGGCCGCGGCCCCCGCCCCUGCGCUGUCGGGCGGGGAGGUCGGAAACCCCCUGGCGAGACCACGGGCGGACGCUUCCCGAAGAGCUGCCUGGGCUGCAGCCGCGGAAGCUGCGUUCUGGGGAGCGGGGAGCGUGCUCCGGCGCCUUCGGGCCGCUGCUGGAAGCCGGAACCGAGCCCGGGCCGCUGCCCCUCACCGGACGCCGCGCGCCACCGGCCCUCCGCGGGGCAGGGGCUGCUGCGAGCUCGCCGGGCGCCCUUUAGACGUAAGUCUCACCCUGCGCCCCGAGGCAGGAAGGAGCGCGUGCAGUCCCGGCCAGAAACGGCUAAUAGGAAGGGCUGAGGGGUUCUGUGUUCAAGGCAGAAGGCCGUGCGUCAGGGCGGCCCUCAGCGGAGAUGCGUGCACGGAGCGGGGAGCGCCGCUCGGGGCAGGGAAUGAAAGCGGCGCUUGAGACUGGAAAUUUAGGGAGAUGAGUUCCUUGGGAACAACGCUGAACCAUCUCACUGCCCCACCCUACCCCUUGUUAUUUUUUUUUGAGACAGGUCUCGCGCUGUCGUCCAGUCUGAGUGCAGUGACGCGAUCACGGCUCACUGCAGCCUCGACCUCCGGGGCUUACGGGUCAUCCCACCUCAGCCCUCUAAGUAGCUGGCACCACGGGCAUGCACCACCACACCCGGCUAAUUUUUUAAAAAAAGUUUUUCCGGAGAUAGGGUCUCGCUGUGUUACCCAGGCUGGUCUCGAACCCCUGGCCUGAAGCGAUCCUCCCGCCUCGGCCUCCCAAAGUGCUGGGAUUACAGGCGUGAGCCACUGCGCUCGGCUUUUCACCCCUUUCUAACGUUUUCCAUCCCCAGCGGUGCCCUGCCCACCCUCUCUUUAUCUCUCACUUUUCCCUCCUCUGUUUCUUCCUCGCUGAAGUCCAUUGGUGAAAGAAAAUUCAUGUGAAAGUUCUCAGGUGUGUUAAGUGAAAUUGCUACAAAUUUGAUUUUAUGUACUGCUGCAGGUACAUUGAGAGAAGAAACGUGAAGUAUACCAAACAACCGUUAGUUGAGAGUGGUGGUAUUCGGGUGAUUGGUUGACUUUUUUUUUUUUUUUUGCACUAUUUGUAAGGCAACAUAGUUUAAUGAAAAGAAUUGUGGUAAACAUAAUUAGGUGAUUAACACAGAAGAGGCAAAUAGUAAACAAGUCAGAAGAAACAACCCCCUCCAAAAAAUAAAAAGUAACUGAUUUACUUGGUAUCCAAGAAGUUACGUUAUUGCUAGACCUAAUAGAAUGGAGAGAUGGAAUGAUGUAGGGAGAAAGGCUCUGAAAUCACAACUGGUUGGAAAAAAAAUUUUAAUUACAUAAUCUUAUUUGUCACAUCCAUCUGCCAGAUGUAGAGCUUAUUGCUGUUUGUGGAGAUGUGCAGACCAAUAAAAAGCCUAUUUAAUGCUCUCUUAAACUACCAGUAACUAAAAAAAAAAAUUGACAGUGACUGAAAUUAUGAAAACAAAAAAAUUCGGUAGCAUCUUAACAUGUAAUUUCUGACAUAUUUGUAGUGAAUCCAUUGAAGACAAACAUCAGAGGAGUACAACAAAUAACAUUUCAUAGAAACUUUGAAAACUGGCAGCAAAAUUACUACUAAUUUGUUUGAUAACUAGAUGUCUGCUGAAAUUGGUAUAAACCAUUUGCUCAAAAGUAGCCAGGCAUGGUGAUGCAUGCCUGUAUUCCUAGCUACUCCCAGAGGCUGAAGCUGAACAAUCACUUUAGUCCAGGAGUUCGAGACUGCAGUGAGUCAUGAUCACACCAGUGCACUCCAGCCUGGACGACAGAGGGAGACCCUGUCUCAAAAAGUAAAUAGGCCGGAUGCAGUGGGUCAUGCCUGUAAUCCCAGCACCUUGGGAGGCCAAGUCAGGUGGAUCAUUUUGAGGUCUGGAGUUUGAGACUAGCCUGGCCAACAUUUUGAAACCCCAUCUGUACUAAAAAUAUAAAAGUUAGCCAGGUGUGGUGGUGUGCGCCUGUAAUCCCAGUUAUUCGGGAGACUGAGGCAGGAGAAUCACUUGGGCCUGGGAGGCGGAGGUUGUGGUGAGCCAAGAUCUUGCCACUGCACUCCAGUCUGGGUGACAGUGAGACACUGUCUCUAAAUAAAACCACAUUAUCAAAAGUCUGAUCUGCUCUCCUUUACAGAAAUACUUUAUCUUUACUUCUCUCUCGAACCCACAGACUUCAUUCCCACACUUCUGGACCUGUUCAAGAUCAUCUGUAGCAUCCAUGUUUUCAAGUCUGAUUUUUAUUUCUCAGUCUUCAUCUCCACUUGUCAGCAGCAUUUGACACAGCUGAUAACUUUCUUCUCCUUAAAGUUCCUUAUCUUGCCUACCAGGAUUUCAUUUUCUUUCUUGCUUCUCUUCCUUCCCAAAUGGCUGUUCCUUAGACUCCUUACUGGUUUCUCCUUCUUUUCCAGCCUCUAAAUGCUGGAGUGGCGUGAGAUUCAAAUCUUACAACCCGCACUCCUCUGUUCUCUCUCCCUAGGCAAUCUCAUUCAGAUCUCUGGCUGGAUGAAACCCACAUUUGAAUUUCCAGUCCACACCUUUCCUCUGAACACAAGACUCACACUUAACUGCCUACUGUAUAGCACUGCUUGAGUUUCUAACAGGCAUCACAAACUUAAUGUAUUCAAAACGAAACUCUUAAUCUCCCCCCACCCCAAACAAGUCCUGCUGAGAUCUUCCCAAUCUCUUGAAAUGACAACUCCAUUCUUCUAGUGGAGGCUAAAAACUUUGGAGUCAUCUUUGAUUGUUUUAUAUCUCACAUUGACUCCAUCAACAAAUUUUGCCAGCAUUACCUUCAAAAUGUAUCCACAAUCUGAUCUCUGUAACCCACCUCCAGCAAGUUCACUCUGGUCCAAGCCACCAUCAUUAAACCUGGACCGUGGCAAAGGCUUUCUAACUGAUCUUGCCCUUCUAUGCCUGCUUCCACAUUGUUUGCUGUCUCAUACAGUGCAGUAAUCCCUUAAAAAGUCAGAUAAUAUUCCAAUCUUGAAUAAAAGCCAAAGUUAUAGCCAUGAUCCACUAGGCCAUAUGUAAACUGCCUGUUACUUCUGGCUUCUUAUCCACUGACUUCUUUAUUUGCUCUUUUUUUGUUUUUGUUUUUGUUUUUGUUUGAGACUGAUUCUCACUGUCGCCAGGCUGGAGUGCAGUGGGAUGAUCUUGGCUCACUGCAACCUCUGCCUCCCAGGUUCAAGCAAUGCUCCUGCCUCAGCCUCCUGAGUAGCUGGGACUACAGGCACGUGCCACCACACCCAGCUAAUUUUUGUAUUUUUAGUAGAGACGGGGUUUCACCAUGUUGGCCAGGAUGGUCUCCAUCUCUUGACCUCGUGAUCCACCCACCUCAGCCUCCCAAAGUGCUGGGAUUACAGGCGUGAGCCACCGCGCUCAGCCCUGCUUUCUCAUUCUUUUCCCACCAUUCUACCCUCCCUCCCUGUUUUCUCCAGUAUACCAAGCAUGCCUCUGCCUCAGGACCUUUGCACUGCUGUCCCUUUGCCUGGAAUCCUCUUCCCCCUUAGUACUUGCUUGGCUCACACCCUCACUUCUUCAGGUCUCUGCUUAAGUCUUGUCUUGUUUAAUUGAGAACUCUACAUGAUGGCGCCCUACCACCAUGUUGCUCCCUUAACCCUGAUCUAUUUUUCCUAAACCAUUUGCCAUAUAUUUUGUUUAUUGGUUGUUUCCCACUAGAAUGAAUGCUUCAUGUGGCAUACCAUAAAUAUUUGUUGAAUUAAAGGAUAUUUGCCUGCAGAAACGUAUACGAUAAAAAUAGCAAAAUUGAAUUCUCAAGAGGAAAAAGCUUGGGUUCUAUUUCUGUUUGCUUUGUGAAAGAAUAAAAGAAUUACAAAUCCAGUCCUGUUCUCACAAAUAAGAUGGAGGAUAAAGCUAGAUUAUUCCUAAUACAGGCAAAAUAUUGUAAUAGAUAUUAAAAAAUGUACAUGAAUUUGCAUGUAUAGCAAAUCUUAAAGCAGAUUAUUUACACUGCUAUCUAAUGAGAAAUAUCAAGUUUGCAAAUGAGUAAAAGACCCAUAUUUCAACCUGUAGACUGAAUACAUACCAACCAAUAGAGGGGAAAAACUAUCAACUCAUAGGUUAUAUAUAGGUUGACCAAGAUUUUAAUGUGAUUCUAUUGAAGGAAGAACUGAAGGAAGAACCAAAAAGUGAAAUCCUCAAGCCUCUAGUUGUGAAAGGGAUUUUUUUUUUUUUUUUGAGACAGAGUCUGACUCUAUAGCCAGGCUGGAGUGCAGUGGUGUGAUCUCAGCUCCCUGCAGCCUCCACCUCCCGGGUUCAAGCGAUUCUCCUGCCUCAGCCUCCCAAGUAGCUGGGACUAUGGGUGCGUGCCACCACACCCAGCUAAUCUUUGUGUUUUUAGUAGAUGGGGUUUCACCAUGUUGGCCAGGAUGGUCUCGAUCUCUUGACCUUGUGACCUGCCACCUCCGCCUCCCAAAGUGCUGGGAUUACAGGCGUGAACCACCACGCCUGGCCAAAAGGGACUUUAAAAAGCUUUGUUGCAAUUUCUAAAACAUCAUAAGGAUAUAUUUCCAAAAAUUUUCACAUACUUCAUUUCUAUCUCUUUUUUCUCUGUCCUUGCCUUCCUCACAAACUCAGCCUAGUAUAGUGAUUAAAAGCGUGGGUUUUAGAAUCAGUAUGACAUUGCGUAGAGCUCAGGCUACAUUAUUGACUACCAACAUCACCUUGGGCAAAUUACUAGUCUUGAGGAUUAUCCUGCUUUGUCUCUAAACUUCACUUAAUAGGGUAUAGUACUGUUUGUGAAAAGUAAUUGAAAUUGUGUAAAUAAUUUAGCAGUACCUGGCACAUACAUGUUUCGCUACUGGUGGUUAUUCAUUUUGAAAAAAUAGUAUUGAAGUUCUGCGUAUCAAGUCUUAGGAACAUAGUGUUAAGCAAAGUCACUUGGGUUUUGCUCUUAUGGAGUUUGUAUUUUAAGAAUAAUACAUAACUAAAAGGAGAUGCUUUGGGAUCUCAGAUUUGUGAUAUGAAGCUUUCAUUCAAUUAUGACGAAAAAUAAGAAACUGCAACAAAAAUUACUAUCUAGGAAAGGGGAGUAAACACCAGGACGUCACCAUAUCAACAUAUGGUACUAGGCAGGGAUGAUGUAAAUAAUGCAAUCAACAGAUCUUGGGAGAAUUACUUACUGACUCAAGAUUGGCCAUUUUUUAAAGUUCUUCCAAGUAAUAGAUACUAAAGUUCAGCUAAUAUUGAGAAGCAUACCCUAAACCCUUUACCUGUGUCUGGCGAAACUUCAACCUGAGUUAAUCCAACCAUUCAUUUUCUGAGCACCUCUGAGCAGUUGCAUGCUGCUGAAGAUUAUAAAAUAAUAGAAUAUACUGAUUCCACUUAAGCCUCAUCAUCACCAAAAUCAAAUGACAUAGUAAUUUAGAAAGUAAUAAGUGCUACAGAGAACAGUAGGUAAAGUGUUGGAUGGAGGAGUAAUGUUUUCAAGUAGAGUGGUUAUUGAGCACAUGGCGUUUGAGCAAAGAUUUGAAGGUGAUGAGGUAGCAAGCUAUACAGGUGUCUGGAAAGGAAUGUUUCUGGCAAAGGGGACAGCAAGAGCAAAGGUCCUGAGGAAAGACUGCCUAAUGUGUUCAGAAAUAAUAAGGAAAGCUCUGUGAUUGAAGGGCAGUGACUGAGAGGGAAAAUAUUAGGAAAUGAGGUGAGGUUAAAGAAGUGGGUGGAGGAACAGACUGUGAAGAAUCUUAUAGGCCAUUAUAAGAAGAUUGGCUUUUAUUCUGAGUUAAUUGGGAAGCCAUUGAAAAGUUAUGAGCAGAAAAUGACAUGGCUACUGUGUUGAAAAUAUCUGUAUUGCAAGGCAAGGAGCAGGGAAACCAGUUAGGAUCCUACAGCAUUGCCUAAGUGCUUCAGGUUACUGUUUCAAAGCGGAAAGUAAGCUUCUCAUCUAAGGCCAUUUUCUCUAUCUGUCCUUUCUUGCCACCCCCCCUUCAGUUCACCUUAUAUUAUCAAUUAUCCCUUCCUUUGUAUAUUCAAACUCUCUUUCAUCUGGAUUAUUUCCACUGAUCUUUAAACAUAAUAAAUCCUACCACCAGAAAACCCUUUCUUGACCGUAUACUCUUAACUGCUCACUUCAGCCAAACAUCUGCUAAGUCUUAUUUGUGGUACCUCACUUGUUUCAUUCUUUACUCUCGUAUUGACAUUUUAGGUCACUAUUGUUUGACAUCUGCCCCCGUAAUAUUAGCAAAAUAGAUUUCCCUGAGGCAGUAGUUCUUAAAGAGGCAGUGCUGAGUCUCCAGGGGGCAUUUGGAAAUGUGUGGCAGUAUUUUUUUUUUUUAUCACUGCUAUAUUUUCAGUAUGACUUAAGGGUGAAGGGUGCUACAGAUAUUUAGUUACCAGAAGUCAAAGAUGCUAAACAUGUAGCAAUGCGUAGGACAGUUCUUUAUAUUUAAGACUUGUCCUGCUCAAAAUACCAAUGUUGUCUCAUUUAGAAAUAGUGUUAAGGUCACAGGUCACAAACAACUUCUUUGCACCUAUGUUUAAUGAACAUUUUUUUCACUCUUUCUUAAUCUCAGAAUAUUUGACAUUGAUAGUGCCUCCCUUUGCGUUGCCCUUCUCUCUCGCCUUCUAUGGCACAACACAUUUUGUAUUUUCUUCUUCCUUCUCUGACUGCUCCUCUCAUUACUUUUCACAGAGUCGUCCUUGUCUACUCCACUACCAAAUGUUGAAGUUCUUCAAGAAUCAGUCCUUUGGAGGUGAUGUCAUUGAAAAUGAUGAGUAGGAAACUCCAAGAGCGCAUUUCUCCACAAAACCAGUGAAUACAUUGGCACAAAUUGUCAGAAUCAAUUUUAUAUAAAUUCUGGAAAUUAGUCAAAGGUUUAUAGUAACCAAGGAAACAUCUUUUUAAAAAGAUGGCUGAGGCUGGAUGCUGUGGCUUAUACCUGUAAUCCCAGCACUUUGAGAGGCCAAGGCGAGCAGAGCAUUUGAGUCAGGAGUUAGAGACCAGCAAAAAAAUUAGCUGGGUGUGUUUGCGGGCACCUGUAAUCCCUCAGGGAGGCUGAGGCAGGAGAAUCGCUUGAACCUGGAAGAUGGAGGUUGCAGUGAGCCAAGAUCGUGCCACCUCACUCCAGCCUGGGUGAUAGAGUGAGACUCUGUCUCAAAAAAAAAAAAAAAAAAAAGUCUGAAUCCUGAAUCUCAGGAGCGCUUUCUAUCAUUUAAACUUACCCUGGUGCCACCUCCCUGUCCAGCUUUGAAAACAACGACAUGCAUUUCUGAUAUCUGUUCCUGGUGCCAAAGGGAGCAGGAUGGCCUUGUUUUCUUUUCUUCUUUCUUUUUUUUUUUUGAGAUGGAGUUUUGCCCGUGUUGCCCAGGCUGGAGUGCAGUGGCGCAAUCUCGGCUCACAGCAACCUCCGCCUCCCGGCUUCAAGCGAUUCUCCUGCCUCAACCUCCCGAGUAGCUGGGAUUACAGGCACUUGCCACCAUGCCUGACCAAUUUUUGUAUUUUUAGUUGAGACGGGAUUUUGCCAUGUUGGCUAGGCUGGUCUCGAACUCCUGACCUCAGGUGAUCCGCCCACCUCAGCCUCCCAAAGUGCUGGGAUUACAGGCAUGAGCCACUGUGCCUGGCCGUGGACCUUCUUUUCAAAGAAUUAUGGAGGCUUAUUUUAGUUCCCCUAACUUGGAAAUCUCCUGAGGAAGAAAGGUGACUACAGGCAUUUGUCAAAAAUUUGUAAAGGCAAGUUUAUUAGCCUCUGCCAUCGGGGGCAAAGAAUAAUAGCUAAGGCAAACAAUAGACACACCAAAAAGCCUGGGAGGAAAAGCUGGAAAGUAAGAUAUUUUGGAGAAUAAAGGCUUUUAAAACUUCCACAUAUUCUUGGGAAUCCAAAAGGCCACAUGUACAUGCAGGGUGAGCAAAUAGAGAAGACUUGAGAAAGCCUUAAACUCUCACCUCUGGCUAACCAUCAGGCUUGCUCAAAUAGGAAGUGAAAACUAAGGUGAAUUUGUUGCUUAGCUGAAUGUUGAAGGUGUGCCCCAACACUUACACAGAGCCUACUGGUAAAGACUGAGAGUGUUUUCUUUUUGUCUUGGUUUCAGGCAUUUAAGGAAAUCUGUUUCUCUUUUGGAUCACUAGCUGCAAAUUAAGCUAACAGAACAGGAGCUCAGCUGGUCACACACAGCAACGAAUACAGACUUUAUAAAGUUCAGAAAAGUUACCAAACAGUGGUAACCAUAACAAGUACCAACAAUGAACUAUGGGGAGGGAGGAGAAUCUGAUUUCCAGAGUUACCACAUUAUAAUACUAUUCAAAAUGUCACAUUUUUAGCAAAGAUUACAUGACAAGGAAAAACCAGAAAAGUAUGGCCCAUACACAGGUAAAAAAAGAAAUUAAUAGAAACUACCCCUGAAGAAGCACAGACUUCGGAUGUACAAAACAAAGACUUUUCAUCAACUCUUUUAGAUAUGCUAGAAGAGCUAAAGGAAACCAUGGACAGAGAACAAAAAAAUUAGGAAAGCAAUGUCUCAUCCAAUACAGAAUAUCAAUAAAGAGAUUGAAAUUGUAGAAAAGAACCAAAUAGAAAUUCUGGAGUUGAAAAGUAUUAUAACUAAAACUGAAAAUUCACUAGAGGUAUUCAGCAGCAGACUGGAGAAGUCAGAAGAAAGAAUCAACAGGCUUCAAGAUAGGUCAAUUAAGAUUAUACAGUCUGAGGAGCAGAAAGGAAAAAGAAUGAAGAAAAAUGAACAGAGCAUAAAAGACCUCUGGGACUCUAUCAAGCAUACCAGUAUAUGCAUGAGGGGAGUCCCAGAAGGAGAAGAAAGAGAGAAAGGGACAUAAUAUUUGAAGAAAUAAUGGUAGAAAAUGUCCCAGCUUUGAUGAAAUACAUGAAUCUAGAUAUUCAAGAGGCUCAAAGAACCCUAAAUAGGGUAAACUCAAAAAGACCCACACCGGAAUGCAAAAGUGAGCUGGGUGUGGUGGCACGUGCCUGUGGUCCCAGCUACUCGAGAGGCUAAGGCAGGAAAAUCGCUUGAACCCAGGAGGCAGAGAUUGCGGUGAGCCGGGAUUGCGCCAGUGCACUCCAGCUGGGCGACAGAGCGAGAUUCCAUCUCGAAAAAAAAAAAAAAAAAAAAAAAAAACUAUUGCUGCAGUCAUUCAGAUGGAAAUGGGGAAAGAAUAAUAUUAACUGAUUUCAAAAAGGACUUGAAGAUGUGAAUCAUCUAUUUUGCUGAAGAAAUCUUAACUCUUUGAAAUUACUUUUUGUUGCUGUUGUCAUACUCUUAGGUGCCAAACUGCGGUAAAUUUUUUAUCAGUGAAGUGGAAGCAUGUGUUUUGUUGUUUUGGGAAUUUUUAUCAAGUAUCUUCAGAGAAGAUUAUUUCCUGCUUUAUCUUCAAAAACUGGAAAGGAAGGGUCAAAGAAAAGACAGUAGCUGGCCGGUCAUGGUGGCUCAUGCCUGUAAUCCCAACACUUUGGGAGGCUGAGGUGGGCAGAUCACCUGAGGUUGGGAGUUCGAGGCCAGCCUGACCAACGUGGAGAAAUGCCAUCUCUACUAAAGAUGCAAGGAUUGGCCGGGCGUGGUGGUGCGUGCCUGUGAUCCCAGCUGCUCAGGAGGCUGAGGCAGGAGAAUCGCUUGGACCUGGGAGGUGGAGGUUGCGGUGAGCUGAGAUCACGCCAUUGCACUCCAGCCUGGGCAACAAGCGAAACUCUGUCUCAAAAAAAAAGAAAAGACAGUAGCUUAUGUUCAUGUCAAGCACCUCUCAUCACAGUCUAGUUCCAAGGAAAAAAUUCCCAGCGUUUUCUACAUUCGGUGCUGCGUCAUCUGAAAUCGGCACAUUCCAUGGAGGAAGGAGUCCUGCUUUGUUGCAUGUAUCCUAGGGUUUAAUGUUGGUAAAUGAGUCACUCUAGCAUUUGUAGAAGGCUCCCUGAGACUCCUGCAGCAGUCGACCAAGCCCAAGGACAUAAUUGAAUCUGGAGAGUCCUGGGGCCUUGUUUUGAAAAAGACUUGAAAUACACAUAGGAAGAAAGGCAUAAAAAUAAAUGUUCACUUGUCUCUGCUGUGAGUAUGUGUUCCAACUUUUCAGUGAUGGCUUUGAGAAUUCUCAAACUUGACUGGCUCUAAGUGUAUCUGGUGGCUUUUGUAUCGUAACCUGAAACUGGCUUAGUACUUUUUCCUAAAAGCUCAGGAUUUGAGAAUGAGGACCCCUUCGCCAGGAAAACAUGUAUACACUCAAAAUUUUGCUUGCAGUUCUAGGGUGUUUAGACCUUUCUCAGAUACCUGUGCAUCUUAUGGGUUUUGUUUUUCUCUUUGAGACAGUCUCACCCUGUUGCCCAGGCUGGAGUGCAGUGGCAUGGUCUCAGCUCAUUGCAGCCUCCGCCUCCUGGGUUCAGGUGGUUCUGCCUCAGCCCCUUGAUCGGCUGGGAUUGCAUGCAUGUGCCACCAUGCCCGGCUCAUUUUUGUAUUUUUAGUGGAGAUGGAGACAGAGUUUCACCAUGUUGGCCGGGCUGGUCUUGGGCUCCUGACCUCAGGUGAUCCGCAAGCCUGGGCCUCCCGGGGUGCUGGGAUUACACGCGUGGGCAACUGCGCCCAGCCCUUGUGUACCUUAUGUGAGGAAGUCCUGCUCAAUCAGGAUCGGUCACGCAGGCCCUGAUCUUGCUACUCUGGUUCCAUGUCCUAUGGAAGACCAAAGUUUACCAAGAUAGAUUUUUCCCUUCAUAGUGGCAGAUACUGUUAACCCCUGCACCAUCUAUAACUCAGAAAUCCCCACCAUUUCUUCCCCUGGGCUUCAGAAUAGAAUUGCCUGGUUUCUCUGAUGAUCAGCACACUUCCUUAAAACCCAAAUCAGCAAGGAAUGAACAAUUUUGUUUGGCAUGGAUGAAAUUAGCACUGUUUGGCUCGGUAGGCCCCAGACAGGCAGGCACCUUAAUUUUUUCCUUGCAUAUUCUAGUCUUCAGAAGCAUUGCCUUUUGUCCUACUGGUAGUGACAUAGAUCAAUAACAGGGCAUCUGGGGAUUUUAAUCCUGAAAACAGUGAGUCUGAUACUGCUUGUGUUUUUCAUCAGUGUCCACCCCGAGUGGGUCUUCCUGCUAUUCUCUUCACUUAGUUGCCCCUCACUUGCCAUCUGAGCAAUUGGCAAGGAUGUGCCAGGCCUAGGUUAAACUUGGAAACAUGCUUGACCAUUCUAUUCCCUGGUCCUUUAAGAUCAGUUUGGCUGCAAUUUUGGCUCCUUGGACCCUCAAGCAUAGCUGGUAAAUCAAGUUAGAGAUGUAACUGCCUUAAAACGUGCCAGCUUAGGCUGGGCGCGGUGGCUCACGCCUGUAGUCCCAGCACUUCGGGAGGCUGGGGCAGGCGGAUCACCUGAGGUCAGGAGUUCGGGACCGGCCUGACCAACGUGGAGAAAUUCUGUCCCUACUAAAAAUGCAAAAUUGGCCGGGUGUGGUGGUGCAUGCCUGUAAUCCCAGCUACUUGGGAGGCUGAGGCAAGAGAAUUGCUUGAACCCAGGGAGGCGGAGGUUGCAGUGAGCCGAGAUCACGCCAUUGCAUUCCAGCUUGGGCAACAAAAGCAAAACUCUGUCUCAAAAAAAAAAAAAAGUGCCAGCGUAUGAGGUAAUUAGAUUGGUUCUCUCCAGAGGUAACCUGCCAAGAAGAGAUGCUAUAGAUGUUACUCAUAUACUGUAAAACAUUGUGAAAUCAGAUUACUUUAAAAUGAUGUAUUACAAAGUUUUGCAAAAAAGCAGUUGUGACUGUGGAAGCCCAAGGCUUAUAUCCCAGCUCUGUCUUACACUAAAUAUGGGUAGAGUGUUUCCACUCUGUCCAUAAAAUGGGAGCUAAUAUUCUCCAACCUGUGUGCCUGACAUGAUGGUUAAAAGGAUUAAACAAAACAAUAGUUUGUAAUUUAUUCUGUCAGAGCACACUGCUGGUAAAUAAAAGGGAGUAAGUUGACUAAAACUAAAUUUAAAAAAAAAUCCUAAUAAAACAAGUUUGUAAUUUAUAAUUGUAUACAAAUAAAAGAUGUUACAAAAAAAAAAAAGACCCACACCAAGACACAUCAUAAUUAAACCGUCAAAAGUCAAUGACAAUCCUGCAAGCAGCAAGAGAGAAGCAAUUCCUCACGUACAAAGGAUUCUCAAUAAGAUUAAUAGCUGACUUCUCAUUAGAAACCACAGAGGCCAGGAGGCAGAGGCAGUGGGAUGAUAUAUUCGAAGUGCUGAAAGAAAAAACUGUCAAGAAUUCUGUGUCCAGCAAAACUAUCCUUCAAAAAAAAAAAAAAAAAGUGAAGGAGAAAUUAAGACAUUCACAGAUAAGCAAAAACAGAAAGAGUAUCUCACUAGUAGUCCUGCCUUACAAGAAAUACUAAAAGGAUCCUUCAGCCUGAAAUGAAAAGACACUAGACAGUGAUUCAGAUCCACAUGAGGAAAUAAAAAACACUGAAAAAGAUUUAAAUACAUAGGUAGAUAUAAAUGAAAGCAAUAAUUAUAUCUGUGUCAAAGCACAAUGUAUAAAGGUGAUUCAUGAUGAGGAAAAGAUGAAGUAUAGGAGCAAAAAUUUUGUGUACUAUUGAAACUAAGUUGGUAUUUAUUUGAAAUAGAUUGUUAUAAAUGAAAGUUAAUUGUAAUCCCUAGAGCAACUACUAAGAAAAUAACUAAAAAUUUUGGAAAGGGAAUAAAAAUGGUAUGCUAGAAAAUAUCUAAUACAAAAAAGGCAUAAGGGAGGAAUUGAGGAAGACAUAGGGAAAACAAAUAGCAAGGGGCAAUGUCCUUCCUACUAAUUACAUUAAAUGUGAAUGCCUUAAAUUCCAUUUAACAGAUGGAGAGAUUGGCAGAAUGGAGUCUUUUAAAUGUUCUAACUAUAUCCUGUUUACAGAAGACUGACUUUAGAACCAAAGACACAAACAUGUUGAAAGUGAAAGGGUGUCACCUUAGUUUUCUUUCUUUUUUUUUUUUUUUGAGAUGGAGUUUCACUCUUUUUGCCCAGGCUGGAAUGCAAUGGCGUGCUUGGCUCACCACAACCUCCGCCUCCUGGGUCCAAGCAAUUCUCCUGCCUCAGCCUCCUGAGUAGCUGGGAUUACAGGCAUGCGCCACCACGCCCAGCUAAUUUUGUAUUUUUUAGUAGAGAUGGGGUUUCUCCAUGUUGGCCAGGCUGGUCUUGAACUCCCAACCUCAGGUGAUCUGCCCGCCUCGGCCUCCCAAAGUGCUGGGGUUACAGGCUGAGCCACCGCGCCCGGCCAGCACCUUAGUUUUCUUGUGCUGCCGUAACAGAAUACCUGAGACUGGGUAAUUUAUAUAGAGCAGAAAUUUAUUUUCUCACAGUUUUGGAAUCUGAGAAACUCAAAAUUACGACAUUGGCAGGUUUGGUUGUCUGGUAAGAGCUGCUUUCUGCUUCCAAGAUGACACCUUAUUGCUGCAUCUUCUAUAGGGGAGGAAUGUUACAUCCUCAACGUGGCAGAAGGUAAAAGGGCAAAAAGGAAUGAAAUUCCUCAUCAGGCCCUAAGUUAAGGGCACCUAAUCUCAUUCAUGAGGGGAGGAGCCCUCAAGACUUAACCACCUCUUACUGGCUGGGCGCAGUGGCUCACGCCUGUAAUCCCAGCACUUUGGAAGGCCGAGGCGGGUGGAUCACAAGGUCAGGAGAUAGAGACCAUCCUGGUCCUAGUAGAGACACGGUGAAACGCGGUCUUUACUAAAAAUACAAAAACAAGAUUAGCCGGCCGUGCUGGCGGGCGCCUGUAGUCCCAGCUACUUGGGAGGCUGAGAUGGGAGAAUGGCGUGAACCUGGGAGGCGGAGCUUGCAGUAAGCCGAGAUUGCGCCACUGCACUCCAGCCUGGGCGACAGAGCAAGACUCCGCCUCAAAAAAAAAAAAAAAAAAAAGACUUAACCACCUCUUAAAAGUCCCACCUCUUAAUACCAUCAUGUUGGCCAUUAAGUUUAAAUAUCUGAAUUUUGGAGGGCACACAUUCAAACCAUAGCAAGUGGAAAAAGACAUUCCAAGAUAUCUCAGGUUCACAUGGAACAUUCUUCAGAAUAAAACAUGUUAGUCCACAAGUCUCAGUUUUAAAAGAUUGAAUUACAAAGUGCCUUCUCUGACUACAAUGGAAUAAAACUGAAAAUAACACACCCUUAAACAACCAAUGGAUCAAAGAAAGAUUAAAUCACAAGAGAAAUCAGAAAAUACUUUGAGAUGAAUAAAAACAAAAAUGCAGCACCCUAAAACGUUUGGAAUGCAGCAAAAGCAGUGCUCAAAGGCAAUUUUAUAGCUGCACAUGCCUACAUUAAAAAAUACCUAGAAUCAGCAACCUAACCUUCCACCUUCAGGAACUAGAAAAAGAAGAGGAAAUCAAACCCAAAGCUAGCAGAAGGAAGGAAAUAGUAAAGACUGGAGUAGAGAUAAAUGAAAUAUACAGUAGAAAAUAGAAUCCACAAAACCAAAAUUUGGUUGUUUGAAAUAAUAAUGUUCACAAACCCUUAAAAAGACUGAGCAAGACAAAAAGAUUCAGGUUACUAAAAUCAGGAAUAAAGUGGGGACAUUACUGCCAAUCUUACAGAAAUAAAAAGGAUUGUAAGGAAAUACUAUUAACAAUUAUAUGCUAACAAAUUAGAUAACCUAGAUAAAAUGGACAAAUUCCUAGCAGCACACAAACUACCAAAACUAACUCAAGAAAAAACUAAACCUAUAACAGUACUAGUUAAAAAAAAAAAAAGUAAACCAGUUAAAAACAAAAAACUUCCAAGAUAGGAAAGAUCAAACCAUGUGGCUUUACUGGUGACGUAAAGUAUUUUAAGAGUGCCAGUCCUUCUCAAACACUUAAAGUAGGGGAAGAGGGAAUAUCUUAACUCAUUAUAUGAUGCCGGCGUUACCCUGGUACCAAAUCCAGACAAAGACAUCACAAGAAAAUAAAACUACAGUCCAAUAGUUCUAAUGAAUAUAGAUGCAAAGAUCCUCAGCCAAAGUGAAUCCUGAAGCACAUUACAAGGAUAUCCACAAACAAAACUGUUAGAGCUAAUACCUCAAUAUCACAGGAUGCCCAGGAUCAACAUACAAAAAUUAGUUAUAUUUCUGUAUCCUUGCAAUGAACAUUUCAAAGUGAAAUGAAGAAAACUCAUUUACAGUAGUAUCAAAAAGAAUAAAAUACUAAUAAACAAGAUGUAAGACUUACACACUGAGAACUACAAAACAUAGUUGAGAGAAAUUUAAAAAGACCUAAAUAAAUAGGCAUUUUAUGUUCACGUAUUAGAAGACUUUGAAAAUGGCAAUACUCCCCCAAUUAACCAACAGAAUCAGUGAAAUUCCUAUGAAAAUUCCAACUGCCAUUAAUGUAGAAAUGGGCAGGUUGAUCCUAAAAUUCAUAAGAAAUUGCAAGGAUGUGGCCAGGCGCGGUGGUUCAACGUCUGUAAUUCCAGCACUUUGGGAGGCUGAGGCGGGCGGAUCACGAGGUCAGGAGAUAGAUACCAUUCUGGGUAACACGGUUAAACCCCGUCUCUACUAAAAAUAAAAAAAAAAAAAGUGUAGCCGGGCAGGUGGUGGGCGCCUGUAGUCCCAGCUACUGGGGAGGCUGAGGCAGAAGAAUGGCAUGAACCCAGGAGGCAGAGUUUGCAAUGAGCCGAGAUCGCGCCACUGCACUCCAGACUGGGUGAGAGAGCUAGACUCCAUCUCGAAAGAAAAAAGAAAAUGAAAAAAAGAAAUUGCAAGGAUGCCAAAACAGUCUUGGAAAAGAACAAAGUUAGAAGACCCACAUUUUGUGAUUUCAAAAUUUACCACGAAGCUACAGUAAUCAAAAGAGUGUGGUACUGACAUAAGGAUAGAUAUGUAGGCCAAGAAAACAGAAUUGAGAGCCCAGAAGUAAGCCUAUACAUCUGUGGUCAAUUGAUUUUUGACAAAGGUGUCAAGAUAGAUCACUGGGGAAUAGAAUAGUAUUUUUAAGAAAUGCUGAGGAUACUGGGUAUCCACAUGUAAUAGAAUGGAUUUGGACCCUUACCUUACACCACAUGCAAACAUUAAGUCAAAAUAAAUCAAAUACCUAAAUAUAAGAAUGAAACUAUACAACUAUUAAAAGAAAAUAUUGGGGUAAGUCUACAUGACCUGGGAUUUCCCAGUGGAUUCUUAGAUAUGAUACCAAGAACUCAAGUAGCAACAUGAAAAAUAGAUACAACUGGGCUUGAUCAAAAUUUAAAACUUUACAUAUCAAAUGACACUAUCAAGAAAGAGAAAAGAGAACCCACUGAGUGAGAGAAAAUAUUUGCAAGUCGUAUACCUGGUAAAGCUCAAAUAACUCUUACAAGUCAUCAGUUAAAAGACGACCCAAGUUAAAAAUGGGCAAAGGACUUGAAUAGACAUUUCUCCAAGGGAGAUAUUCUAAUGGCCAAGUACAUGAAGAGAUGCUUUGCAUCAUAACCUUCCACCUUAAGGGAAAUGCAAAUCAAAACCACGAUGAGAUACCACUUUCUAUACUCACUAGGGUGCUAUUAUUAAAAGACAAGUGUUGGCAAGGAUGUGGAGAAAUUGGAAAGCUCAUAAAUUGCUGGCGGAAAUAUAAAAUGGUGCGUUCAUUAUAAAAUAGUUUGAUGGUUUAUCAAAAUUUUAAACGGAAUUAACAUAUAACCCAGCAGCUCUCCUAAAUAUAUACUCAAGAGGAUAGAAAACUAAUCAAACAAAAACUUCUGCAUGAGUGUGUAUAGCAGCACUAUAAUAGCCAAUAAGUAGAAACAACCCAAAUGUUCAUCAAUAGAUGAAUGGACAAAUUGUGGUAUAUUCAUAUAAUGAAAAACUACUCAGCCAUAAAAAGAAAUUAGGUACUAGUAUAUGUUGCAACAUGGAUCAACCUUGAAAGACCUUGCUAACUGAAAGAAAAGGCCACAUCUUACAUGAUUGUAUUUAUGUGAAACAUCUAGAAGAGGCACAUCCAUAGAGACAGAAAACAUUGGUGGAUGCUAGGGGUUAGGGAAAUGUAGAAGUGGGGAGUUGCUGCUUAAUGGGUUUCUUUUUUGAGUGAUGAAAAUAUUCAGAUUUAGGUAGUGGUGAUACUUGCAAACAUUGUGAAUGUACUGGAAGGCACUGAAUUGUACAGUAAAAUGGUUAAAAUGGUGAGUUUUAUGUCAUGUGAAUUUUACCCCAAUAAUACCUCAAUAAUAAUUUUUUAAAAGUAGCCCCUCUCUUAGUCCAUUUUGUGCUGCUCUAACAGAAUACCCGAAACUUUAUAAAGAACAAACGUUGGCCGGGCACUGUGGCUCACGUCUGUAAUCCCAGCACUUUGGGAGGCCGAGGUGGGCAGAUCACGAGGUCAGGAAUUAAGACCAGCCUAGCCAACAUGGUGAAACCCCGUCUCUACUAAAAAUAACAAAAACUAGCUGGGCGUGGUAGCACAUGCCUGUAAUCCCAGCUACUUGGGAGGCUGAGGCAGGAGAAUUGCUUAAACCCGGGAGGUGGGGGUUGCAGUGAGCUGCGAUCACGCCAUUGCACUCCAGCCUGGGCAACAGAGCAAGAGAUUCUUGUCUAAAAAAAAAAAAAAGGAACUAUAUUGGCCCACAUUUCUGGCAGUUGAGAAGUCCUAGAUGAAGGGGCCACAUCUAGUGAGGGCCUUCUUACUGCAUCGUAACGGUGGAAGGCAUCACAUGAUGAGAGAGAGAGCAAGAAAAGGUGCUUUUGUUACAAGCCCAUUCCAUUAUAAUGAACCCACUCCCAUGAUAACAAGCUAUUCAUGAGGACAGAGCCAUCAUGACCUAUUCUCUAAUUAGGCCCUACCUCCCGACACUGUUGCAUUGAAGAUUAAUUUUCCAACACAAGAACUUUGGGGGACACAAUCCAUAGCAGUCCCUCUCUUCACUAAUUUCUUUCCAUGAAUUCUUCCACUCCCCUGACUUUUGUGUGUAGUUACCAUCUAUACACAGAUGCUUCACUAGAGGCAGUUUGUAUCUCCAACCCACAUCUUUUUUUUGAGUUCCAGAUGUGAAUAUCCUGCUGUUUACUUACCUACCACCUCCACACAUAGCUUCAAAUGCAACUUUGAAAUAUAAAACUGAGUUCAUUACCUUUUCUCCUAAAUUUGAUUAUCUGUGAAUGCUUUCUGUCUCACUAAAGAUAGCUUCCAGUCAUUGAGAGUUUGCUGUAUGUUUGGACUAAAGUGUUAAUCCAUUAAUUUACUUAAUCCUCACAAGAACCUCAGAUAAUACUAUUUUCCAUUUGCAGUGAGAAAGUUGAAAGGUAAAAUAACUUAUUGAAAUCACACACCUUUUAAGGAAAGGCUAGCCCUCAACAAAGGCAGCCUGACUUUUCAGAGCCUAUGUUCUUAAUGCCAUUGCUAUACCAUCCUCUAACUUUUUCUAGAGACCUAGAAGUCAUCUUUGUCACUUCUCUCCUUUACAUGCUUUAUCAAGUUGAUCAUGAGGUCCUAUUGAUUUGACUUCCUAAAUAACUCUCACUCCAUCCAGUUCAUUUCAUCUGCUACCACCAGCCUUAUUCAAGCAACCAUCUUUUGUCUAUACAAUGGCCUCUUAACUAACCUCCCAUAUUCACUGACAACAACCUAAUAAAAAUAUUUAUAAAUAUAAAUUUGUAUCUUACAGGUAGGGAAUUUAUAUUCUUCUCUUAUUAUGCCCAAGGAAUAUUUCCAAAUAUUAAUCAUAAGAUUGAUCACCUAGAAAACCUUAGUGAAUCAUGAAAAGUAGAAAUCUUAAGAGCUGCUUUUCAGAUGAUAGUGCAAUAAAACCUAAAGUCAACAAAGGUUGUUUUUGUUUCUUGAUGAUUUUAACUGUUGGUUUACUAUCAGUCUCUCCAACACUCCUGCCUUAAUUCUUGGUGAUUUUAAUAUGCACAUCAAUGAUCUUUCCAAUAUCUUGACCUCCAGCUUCUUGGACACCUCUUUUCAUUCCACUUCAGCCACUCCUUUGGUCAUUCCCUAGUUAGAUCUGCUUAUUACCAUUAACUGCAAACUCAAUUAUCUCAACUUCAUGCAUCCACCUUUCUGGCUGCCACAUCCUGUCUUUCCAGCUUUCCCCUCUAGAUCCCUAGCUCCUCAUAAUUAUUUAUCUUUGUUGGUAAUUCUAAUCUAUUGAUUCUAUCACUGUUUCACUGCCCCUCACCCUUAUUUUCCUCCUCACUUGGCUUAAAUUCCAUAGCCAGUCAUUGAUUGGAUAUUCCUUUUACCCACUGACAAAACCGUAACCCUAAUCAUUACUUAUCUACUCCAUUCUUGCUCCCAUGUAGCUGAACAUGACUGGAAGAAAAAUGCAAGAGUUUCACUUUAAAUUCUUGAAGACAAACCUCAUGUGACCUCAAAAUGCUGCCAGUCAAUCAAAUUAUAUUUUCUCCAAGUUUAUUCACUUGUAGUCAGCUUGGGCUGCUACAAUAAAAUAUCAUAAAGUAGGUAGCUUGUAAACAACAGAUUGUCUUCCUUCUGGUUCUGGAGGCUGGGAAAUUCAUGAUCAAGGCACCAGCAGAUUUAGUGUCUGUUGAAGUCCAGCUUUGUGGUUCAUGGAUGGUGACUUCUCACUGUGAGAAGAUAUGGUGGAAGGAAAGAGGGGUCCUUUCUUGAGCCUCUUUUAUAAGGACACUAAUCUCAAUCAUGAGGACCACCCCCCAUAACCUAAUCACCCUCCAAACGUGAUUAGGCCUUCCAAUACCAUCACCUUGUGGGUUAGGAUUUCAACAUACGAAUUUUGAAGGGACACAAACAUUCAGAGCAUAGCACCCCCUUUUCCUGAAAUGAUUUUAUGUAAUGAUUUUAUGUAAUUGUCUCUUCUCGAAUAUCCAACACUCUAUUCCCAGUCUUACCCUCGAUGAUAACUCUUGUUCCUAUUUCCUGGAGAAAAUCAGAGCAAUCAGAAGAGAUCCCCUGCCACUAAAUCUAUCCUUCUAGCAGCUUGUGAACUCAUAUAAUUUUCUUUCCAGCCUGUUACCAUACAUAUAUGCAUGAUGUCCAUGCUCUCAUCUAAAAUCAGCCUCUGCUUGUGUACUAGAUCAGGGUUGACAAAAUGCAGCCUGUGGCCCAAAUCCUGCAUUUUGUUUUGUUUUUGUACAGCCCGUAAGCCAAGAAUAGUUUUUACUUUUUUUUUUUUUUUUUUUUUUUUGAGACAGUCUUACUCUGUUACCCAGGCUGGAGUGCAGUGGCACAAUCUUGGCUCACUGCAACCUCCACCUCCCGGGUUCAAGCGAUUCUUCUGCCUCAGCCUCCCAAGUAGCUGGGACUAGAGGCACCCGCCACCAGGCCUGGCUAAUCUUUGUAUUUUUUAGUAGAGAUGGGGUUUCACUAUGUUGGCCAGGCUAGUCUUGAACUCCUGACCUUGUGAUCCACCCACCUCAGGCUCCCAAAGUGCUGGGAUUGCAGGCAUGAGCCACUGCGCCCGGCUAGUUUUUUACAAUUUUAAGUGUUGGGGAGAAAAAAGUAUAUACAGCAGAGACCAUGUGUGAUCCACAAAGCCUAAAAUAUUUACUGGCUCUUUCCAAAAAAAUUUUACUGAUUCCUGUACUAGAUCACAUUCUCUCACACCUACUUGAUAGUAACACAGCAAUUCUUCCUUCUCUCUUCUACAUUAACCAGUGUUUGCCCUCAUUCAAGAUUACUUCCACUAGCAUUCAAGCAUUCUGUUAUUUCUCCCAUCUUUAAACAAACCGAAAAAAUCUCGAUACUACUUUUCUUGCCAGUUACUGUCCUGUUUCUUUGCUCCCCUUCGCAACACAGCACCUUGAUUUUUAUUUUUAUUUUAUUUUAUUUUGAAACAGGACCUUCUAGCAUGCUGUAUAAUUUAUGUAUUAUGUUUAUUGUCUAGCUCCUGCCCCCUAAUGGAGGCUUCAUAAGGAUAAAAAUCAGAAUCUCUUUCGCUCUGUGAUAUAUUCCAAGCACAUGGCUCAUAGUUGAUACUUCAUAGAUAUUUGUAGAAUAAAUAAAAAUGAAUUUAAAAACUUCCCAAUUCUUUAAAAACACUACAAAAUAAUUACUGGAUUAUAGCAGAAGUCAAAUUUGAGAUUACAAGUUGUAUACAAAUUGGAAAACUGGAACACUUCAUAUGAAUAUGUAUGGGAAGUGAAUCAAACCUAAGCCCAGAGAAGAAUUCAUAGCUUUAAAGGAAUAUAAUGCCAAACAAAAUAAUUCUUACUGUGAUCAGAGCUCUUACUAAUAAUGUUCUCUCUAUCAUCACUUCCUGCAUCAAUCUCCUAGCAAAGCUACUGGGCUUUCUCUCCCAAAGUUAUUACAUUAGAAGACGGUUCUCAAUAUGUAGUUGCUGGGCUAACACCAUCAACUUCACCUGAGAACUUGUUAGAAAUGCAAAUUGUUUUAAUAAGCCCACCAACUGAUUUCAAUACACACGAUUGUUUGAGAAUAUUGCAUUAGACUCAGGAAGCUUAUUUCUUAGUGCCUUUUUCUUUUCUCACAUAAAAGAAUAGAGUCUGCUGUUGAUUCAAACACUGUCUUGCUUAGGGAGGCAAAUUUAAUGGAUCAGACAGGGUUAAUAGAUAAUCGUUUCUCCCGUGUUAGCCAAUAUACAGUUAUCUUUAGGGCCAGGCACGGUGGCUCACGCCUGUAAUCCCAGUACUUUGGGGGGGCCGAGGCAGGCGGAUCAGGAGUUCAAGAACAGCCUGGCCAACAUGGUGAGACCCCAUCUCUACUAAAAAUACAAAAAUUAGCUAGGCGUGGUGGUGUGUGCCUGCAGUCCCACCUACUUGGGAGGCUGAGGCAGGAGAAUCGCUUGAACCCAGGAGGCGGAGGUUGCAGUGAGCUGAGAUUGUACAACUGCACUCUAGCCUGGGCGAUAGAGUGAGACUACUUCUCAAAAAAAAAAAAAAAUGCAUUCUGGAUGCAUUUUGUUCACCAUGUAUACCUUGAGUAUCAUUACCUUAACUUCUAUUUUUAAGAUGAACCAAAACAAAAAUAUUGUGUUGAAGUCAUAAUCAUAGGCUUGUAUCAGCCUUACAGUUUUUAUCCUGAGGUUCAUAAUCACAAACAAAUUUUUGUAGAAAAUCCUGUUUAAUAUCCACGAAUAUGUUUUAAAAGAAAUAUCAAGACAUAUUCAGAACAUCUUAAGAAUUUACAGAAGGGUGCUCUUGGGCAACCUACUUUCUCAGCAUGAGGAAGCUUUCUCUCUCUUCUUUUUUGUCUAUUAAACUUUCCACUCCUAAACUAAAAAAAAAAAAAAAAGAAUUUACAGAAGAGCGUAAAAUAAUUUGACUGAGUCAAAAAACCAUUUAAUUUCCUGGUUAGAAUAACUUAAUAGUGUAAAGAUAACUUCUUUACACUAUUAAUAUAUACAUGUAAUGCAAUAAUUUCAAUCGUAAUCACAACUUUGGAGAAAUGAGGGUAGUAUUUGGUAAGUUGAUUCUAAAAUUUAUCCUGAGAAAUUAAUUCAUGGAAAAAUUUAAAAUCAUGAGGAAGAAGAAGAAUGUGGGAAUACCAUACAUUAAAAUGUACUGUAAGUCUAGAGUCAUUUUAAAUGUAUGUUAUAGCUACUGGAAGAGACAAAUACUACAUGAAUCAAAAUACUUCAAAAAUACCUCCAUAUGGCCAUGAGAAUUGAAUGAAUUAUAAAGGAGGCAUUUUCAAUCAGUAGCAAAUUGAUGGAAUAUUUAAGAAAUAAUGUUGGAACAUGUAUCUACUCAUUCUGAAGAAAAAGUUAAAUCUCUACAUUGUACUCCGAAAUAAGUUCUUAAUGUAUUAAAUACCUAAAUGUUAAAAAAUAAAGUAUGAAAGCGCUAAAAUAAUAUAUAGAAUUGUUUUAAUCUAGGUAUCAACAGAACAUGAAACCCAGAAGCCACAGAGAAAAACACUGAUAGAUUUGACACAUACAAAUUUAUAACUUCUUUAUGAUGAAAAAUAUAAAUAAAGUUAAAAGUUAGGUUAUGGAUUUGGAGAAAAUAAUUACAAUACAUAAAAGAAUCAAGAAGUUAAUCCAUAUACUAUACAAAGAACUCCCAAAAUUAGUAAAAAUACCAACUCAACAAAAAGUAGAUAGAAUAUAUUAACAUAUAGAUGAGUCAGAAAAGGAAAUACAGAUGGCCAGUAAUAAAUGUUUAAUCUCAUAUAUAAAGUAAGAAAUACAAAUAACAUUGAACUUUCAGUGUAAGGCUAGACUGAGCACCCAUAUGUACCUCUCUUUCAAGGUCUUACUUUAUUUUUCUAAUUUCACUGUUACAUACCCUUAUGUGUAUCACCUCAUUAUUACCAUCACUCUACAAAUAAGGAAACUGGGACAUAAAGUAGUUAAAUCAUUUGGCCAAAGUCAAACAGGUAAUAAAAGCGGCAGAGCUGGGGUGUGCACUCAGCAUUUGGACUGCAGGAUCUACCCUCUAACCCACCAUACUAUGCUACCUCUAAAUGAAUUAAAGCAGGUCUGGGAGUGGCCAAGACACUUUCAGAGAAGAUCUACGAAGUUAAAACUUUUCGUAAUAAUAGCAAAACAUAAUUUGGCUUUUCCACUCCUUCAUGAGUGUGGCAGUGUCAUUUUCCAGAGGCUUCAUGACAUGUAAUGUUGCAAAAGAUUAAAUGCAGAAGCAGAUACGAGAAUUCAGCUGAUUUCCAUUAAGUCUCAUCUUAAAAGAGAUUUACAAAAAAGUAAACAAAGCCACUCUUGUUCGGAAAUAUGUAACUUUUCAUGAAAAUAUUUAUAACGUAAUUAGUUUAUUUUAAAUGAAUUUAUAGUUUUAAAUUUCUCACUUUUAAUUUCUAAUUGGUAAAUAUAAAUAGAUAAAACCCACAUAAACAAAAGCUCUUUGUAUUCCUCAAUAAUUUUUAAGGAUGCAAAGGGAUCUUGAGGCCACAAAGUUUGAGAACUACUGAAUUAAACAAUUACCUCCAGUCAACUGACAGCUGAGCCAGUUAGGCCUCUAUCCCCCUUCACUCACAAAUACAGAGGGAACCCUCUGGGAAUCUGUGGCUUUUCCCCCAGGAAUAAAAUCUCAAGAGGUCUUAUGUAGGCUACAGCAAAGUAUGGUAAGGAAAAACAUUUGAGAUGGUACCAUGUCACUAUCAGCUGUUCUCUACUUCCUGGGCACAAACUUUUGCACAAGUGCAAACUGUCUAUUGAAUAGCACCUCUGUUCACUAAAUGGCCCCACUGUGGCAUGCUAGCAGAUGCUCUCUGUUAGGGAAAGGGACGUGCUUAUCUAGUAUCAACAGUAAGAAAUCUCCUAGAUGACAAAGGAGUGACUGAUGUUUGUAAUCUGUUGUGCCUGAAAAGGCACCUGAUUCUGGUUUUCCAUUUACAAUACUGCAGUGGCUCACUUCUGUAAUCCCAGCACUUUGGGAGGCCGAGGCAGGCAGAUUGCCUGAGGUCAGGAGUUCAAGACCAGCCUUCCCAACAUGGUGAAACCCUGUCUCUACUAAAAAUACAAACAAUUAGCCGGGCGUGGUGCCGGGCGCCUGUAAUCCCAGCUACUUGGGAGGCUGGGGCAGGACAAUUGCUUGAACCCGGGAGGCAGAGGUUGCAGUGAGCCAAGAUCGAGCCACUACACUCCAGACUGGGCGACAAGAGUGAAACUCCGUCUCAAAAUAAAUAAAUAAAUAAAUAAAAAGUUUCCUUUUAAAAUAAAUUUAGUGGCCAGGCGUGGUGGCUCAUGUCUGUAAUCCCAGCACUUUGGGAGGCCGAGGCAGGAGGAUCACCUGAGGUCAGGAGUUCGAGACCAGUCUAGCCAACGUGGCGAAACCCCGUCUCUAUUAAAAAUACAAAAAUUAGCCAGGCAUGGUGGUUUGCGCCUGUAAUCUCAGCUACUCAGGAGGCUGAGGCAUGAGAAUCACUUGAACCCAGGAGGCGGAGGUUGCAGUGAGCCGAGAUCGUGUCACUGCACUCCAGCCUAGGUGACACACUGAGACUCCAUCUCAAAAAUAAAAUAAUAAAUUUAAUUUUCAAAAUUGAGUUGAUUUAAAGAAAAGUGUUAAGAAAAUGUUACAUAUGUAAAGAUGGCAAAAAUUGUUAAGUGAAGGAAGUUUGAGAAACAUUGCUAGAAAGCAAAUCAUUAGUCUGUCUCGGGUGGGUCUUUGAUGUAGUAGUUAGGGGUCUGAGAAAAAUGGGGCAGACACGAGGUAACUCCAGACCCCCACGCUAAGGGAGAUAAGAAGCAAAGUGAAAGGGCAACUCUGCCUGAGAGUGAAAGAUUGAAACUCUGCACCCUGGCAUUCUCUGGUCUGUACUUGUUCCUUCCCCAGUAAAUCUGCUUACUGGUAUGUUUCACUCACACAAAGCUUGUGUUCACCCCUCUGUGUCUUCUACUGCUACUCAGUCUUCAUUGGAGACCUAAUUUUCCCUUAAAACUCUUUAUGAUUGGCCAGGCGCGGUGGCUCACGCCUGUAAUCCCAGCACUUUGGGACACCGAGGCGGGUGGAUCACGAGGUCAGGGGUUCGAGACCAGCCUAACCAACAUGGUGAAAUCCCUUCUCUACUAAAAAUACAAAAAUUAGCUGAGCAUGGUGGCAGGCGCCUUAAUCCCAGCAACUCAGGAGGCUGAGGCAUGAGAAUUGCUUGAACCUGGGAGGUGGAGUUUGCAGUGAGUCGAGAUCGUGCCACUGCACUCCAGCCUGGGCGACAGAGCGAAACUCCGUCUCAAACGAAACAAAACAAAAAAACACUUUAUGAUUGGCCAGGCGCGGUGGCUCAUGCCUGUAAUCCCAGCACUUUGGGAGGCUGAGGCAGGCGGAUCACGAGGUCAUGAGAUCAAGACCAUCCUGGCUAACACGGUGAAACCCCA